rnacentral:rRNA from 1 species
AGAGUUUGAUCCUGGCUCAGGAUGAACGCUAGCUACAGGCUUAACACAUGCAAGUCGAGGGGCAGCAUGACGAUAGCUUGCUAUUGUUGAUGGCGACCGGCGCACGGGUGAGUAACGCGUAUCCAACCUGCCCUUGUCCAUCGGAUAACCCGUCGAAAGGCGGCCUAACACGAUAUGCAGUUCUCAGCAGGCAUCUAACGAGAACGAAAUGUGAAGGAGAAGGAUGGGGAUGCGUCUGAUUAGCUUGUUGGCGGGGUAACGGCCCACCAAGGCGACGAUCAGUAGGGGUUCUGAGAGGAAGGUCCCCCACAUUGGAACUGAGACACGGUCCAAACUCCUACGGGAGGCAGCAGUGAGGAAUAUUGGUCAAUGGGCGAGAGCCUGAACCAGCCAAGUAGCGUGCAGGAUGACGGCCCUAUGGGUUGUAAACUGCUUUUAUAGGGGGAUAAAGUGUGCCACGUGUGGCAUAUUGCAGGUACCCUAUGAAUAAGGACCGGCUAAUUCCGUGCCAGCAGCCGCGGUAAUACGGAAGGUCCGGGCGUUAUCCGGAUUUAUUGGGUUUAAAGGGAGCGUAGGCCGGAGAUUAAGCGUGUUGUGAAAUGUAGAUGCUCAACAUCUGCACUGCAGCGCGAACUGGUUUCCUUGAGUACGCAUAAAGUGGGCGGAAUUCGUGGUGUAGCGGUGAAAUGCUUAGAUAUCACGAAGAACUCCGAUUGCGAAGGCAGCUCACUGGAGCGCAACUGACGCUGAAGCUCGAAAGUGCGGGUAUCGAACAGGAUUAGAUACCCUGGUAGUCCGCACGGUAAACGAUGGAUGCCCGCUGUUGGUCUGAAUAGGUCAGCGGCCAAGCGAAAGCAUUAAGCAUCCCACCUGGGGAGUACGCCGGCAACG